CGUCAAGUCCUCAUGGCCUUUAUGCCCAGGGCUACACACGUGCUACAAUGGCCGGUACAAAGGGCUGCAAUACCGCGAGGUGGAGCGAAUCCCCUAAAGCCGGCCCCAGUUCAGAUUGGAGUCUGCAACUCGACUCCAUGAAGUCGGAAUCGCUAGUAAUCGCAGAUCAGCAGGCUGCGGUGAAUACGUUCCCGGGCCUU
rnacentral:rRNA from 1 species